rnacentral:rRNA from 1 species
GACGAACGCUGGCGGCGUGCUUAACACAUGCAAGUCGAACGGAAAGGCCCUGCUUUUGUGGGGUGCUCGAGUGGCGAACGGGUGAGUAACACGUGAGUAACCUGCCCUUGACUUUGGGAUAACUUCAGGAAACUGGGGCUAAUACCGGAUAGGAGCUCCUGCUGCAUGGUGGGGGUUGGAAAGUUUCGGCGGUUGGGGAUGGACUCGCGGCUUAUCAGCUUGUUGGUGGGGUAGUGGCUUACCAAGGCUUUGACGGGUAGCCGGCCUGAGAGGGUAACCGGCCACAUUGGGACUGAGAUACGGCCCAGACUCCUACGGGAGGCAGCAGUGGGGAAUAUUGCACAAUGGGCGGAAGCCUGAUGCAGCAACGCCGCGUGCGGGAUGACGGCCUUCGGGUUGUAAACCGCUUUCGCCUGUGACGAAGCGUGAGUUACGGUAAUGGGUAAAGAAGCACCGGCUAACUACGUG